CUCGGGAGCAGCAAGGUAGGUGGUGCCCGUCACGUGCUCGGAAUCACCUGACUCGGAGCCGUGGAGGGGGGAGGAGGAGUCACGAGGAGGGUGGCCCGGCCCGACUGAGCCCUGAGCCCUCUGCCCUCCGCCCCAGCCCGCACUUCGGCCCUGCCCAGCCACGUACCUUGCUCCUCACCGCUCUCCUACUUUCUUCCGGGCUCCGGAGGCCAUCGCAAUAGGAGAUGCUCUCUGGGCACUUGAGAGAAUUGACUGUUCUCCUACUACUAUUGUGCUCGCCCAACCAGUAUUUAUUGAUGCCCGCGAAGUCCUGGGGCACAAGGGGCACAGAACUGGAACCGCCUUGGACCCUGCCUGCCCUCAAGUUGCUCCAAGAUUAAUGGGGAUCGGACCUCUGCAUCCUUGCUAGAAAUGUUGAAGAGGACCUCCAGAGGCCAGGCUGACCCUGAAUUCAUAGCACUGACUGAUACAGCAGUUUAAGCAGGUCAGUUCCCCCAAAAGGUCUGAUUAUCCAACCCACAGGUUGCCAUUCUGUUCAAAAGGAUGGUACAAGAGACAGUCAUUUGACUUACAUAAAUAUUAAUACCAGUCCCAUUGGGAAAAAAGCAAAUGAGGGUUGGCUGCCAGAAAAAAUUUCUACUUGCCUGUCCACAAAGGGACUGUCAUACCAAUUGCUUAAGGAAGCCAAGUCUCCCUCUCUUCCAAAACUCCCAUGGGGCCAUGUUUUAUUAUUAUUUAUGGUUCUUAGCACAUCCUGUCCCACAUUGUAGUUGGUUAUAUACGUGGCUUAAAGCUAACUUCAAGUCAUUCACCUUUAUAACACCUAGCACGCAGCCCACUGCUGUCCAUGUAAGAGGCACUCGAACCGGUAAAACAUAAACCAAUUCAAGUAAAUGUUCUUCCAACUGUAUCUGACUCCCCUCCAAAAACAAACUUGUGACUAGAAGAGGCACAGACAAUUGCCACAUUCCUGCCAACAUGACUGAUUAAAAUGCCCUUAUGAUUGGCUUGGUCACAGUUUCCAGAAGGUGCUGAGGCUUUUGCUAGUUAAACCAGCUUUCAUUGGAUUUUGUUUUCUAUGUGUGUUUUCACCAAAAAAUAAAGACAUUUCUCUAACAAUAGGGACAGAAUACAUGAAAUAGGACUACUACUUUUUUUUUUUUUUUUUUUUUUUUUUGCGGUACGUGGGCCUCUCACUGUUGUGGCCUCUCCCGUUGCGGAGCACAGGCUCCGGACGCGCAGGCUCAGCGGCCAUGGCUCACGGGCCCAGCCGCUCCGCGGCAUGUGGGAUCCUCCCAGACCCAGGCACGAACCCGUGUCCCCUGCAUCGGCAGGGGGACUCUCAACCACUGCACCACCAGGGAAGCCCAGGACUACUACUUAAUAAUGCUAGUCAGUCAAUAAGGAAAAUAAGGGAUCAGUAACACAAAACAUCUGACUGUAGGUGUUCCAAGAAAGGAAAAAGAACUAACAAACAAGAAUAUAGUGCUUUACCAUUUACAAAUCUUUCACAUACAUUCCAUUUGACCCUCACAACAACCCUGUGAGGUAGGCAGCACAGAUAUU